GGCCCUGGAUGGGCCACCCUGUAGGGCUGUGGGCAUUGUGGGGCUGAUCCGCCAGAGUCCUUCCUGCCUGGCGCCUGACCCAGGCACUGGCUGACACAUAAUGGCCCUGUCUUGGCCCUAUACGUCGGUUUACAGGGCCAGAACCUGGAAGCAGAGCGCAGGACGAGCCAGAUCCCGCCAGGCUCCCCCCGAGGACCUGUCCAGUGCCUCUGCGCCGCCUGGAGCCAGGCCCGCCUUCUCCAUGGCUGCCGUGGCCUUGAGGACCUCCAGCCUCGCUGCACAGGUUUCCAAGGAGAGGACACGGUGCCCUGACCUGACUGGAUGCUGCCUCUUACCGCAUAGCCCGCUGGCAGGCAGGGCCUCCACUUCUUUUUACAAAUUUGUCUGAGAUCAUUACUCAGGUCAUUCAGGUGGUCAUGGCCCAGCCAGGCUUUGGACCCGAGCUGUGCUAUUCCACAGCUGGCACUCUGGCCUGUGUGCCUCAUGAUCAUGGAUACAGCACGUAUUCUUAUUUAUUCCUGUAGUCCUGGGGUACUUUGCACCGUGGCAUAUCUGUAAUAAGCACAUGCACAACUAGAAGGAGGUCUUCACUUCAACAUAUAAGUUGACCAUGGCCCACUCUGGGCUCCAGUCCUCUACAAAGAUGUAGGGCAGGGACUACCAGUUGUCAGCACAGCACCAUCCCACAUUGCUCUUCUAAUGGAGCCUUUCAACCCAGAUGUUCUUUCUCAUCUGAUGGGAAGGAUCCAGCUAUGUAAAGAUUAUGUUCUAGAUCAGCUUUGGUCUAUCCUAAAAGAAAUUUGCCAGUGGAUUAUUCCAUAUAGAUAAAAGUCAGUUUCUCUGGUCUUCCUGGAAUGUGUCUAGAAAGCAAGUACUUUAUUUAUUUACAAGUUAAUUGUGGAUCAAUGUAUUGGAUUAAAAUGUGACCAACAUAAUUUGGUCAUUGUGAGCAUGCCAGCUCGGUCCACUCUUCCCCACACAUUAUGAUAUCCUAAAUAUAACUCUAGAUUUUCUUAUGCCCUAGAGAAGGACAUACUCUUGGGUGUCUGGACUAGGGAAACAUGUAUGAAAAACCAUUCGGCCACUCUAUAUCUGAAGUUACUUCUGUCAUUUUGUUAAUUAUUUUCUGGUUGUUUUGUAGAUCUUUUGUUUCUUCUUUUAUUGUUUCCUUUAUGGUUUGGUGAGUUUCUGUACUGAUAAGCUUUGAUUCCUUUAUUUCAUUGACAUAUCUGGUGGUAUAAUUUUUUUCUCUUUGGUUACUCUGGAGCUUACAUUUAAAAAUUUAUAGUUAUGAUAGGCUAUUUAAAGCUGAUAAAAAGUUUUGAUCACACACAAACAUGCUAUAUUCCCCCCACAUCCCCUGUCAAUGCACAAAAUUUGUACUUUUUUGGUUUAAUUUAUAUUGUUCUGUAUUGGGCAUUUAUUAAGAACUCAUUGUGGAUAUAAAUAUCUUUGACUAUUUUGAUGUUUUAAUGGGUUACCAAGUCUGAAUUUCUGAAGAUAGUUAUACUAGGGAUGAAUUCAAUGUAAUUCAUGAAUUAUUCAUGACUUUCUAGAUGGGUUAAUGAAUGUUUCUUUUAGCCCCUCAGGACGAGAUCUCUGAAUCAGUGGGGAGCUUCAUGAGGGACGUCAGGGGGAGUUGGGAGGAUGCUGAUGGAAGUGGGGAGGCCUGCGGUCGUCCUGCACUUGUUUGUCUAAAAGUGAUGAGAAGGCUUCACCCAAAUGCAGGAGCCAUGACCCUGACCCAUCACUGCCCCAUGUUACAGGAGACAGGACUUGACCGUCCUCCCACAAGUCAGAGCUAUUGUUAAUCAAGACCUCAGGUGACCAGCUCUCCCCAGGUCUCAAGGGCCUGUCACAUGGCAUAUUACUUUCCUGUGUUUUCUGACAAUUCUAUCUAAAAUCUUCAGUGAUCUAUCUCAAGGUGAGGAAAUGGGAGUUCUACAAGUUUAAGUGCCUUGCCCAAAGUUGCAUGGCUGUUAAGAAGCUGAACCAUGAUUGAAACCCAGAACUCUUCCAUUUCAAAAUCAGUGGCCUUAAUUACUCUACAUUUGUUUAUUUGAUUGUUGUCUGUCUCUGCCUGUCAACUAUUGUGCUCACAAGAUAUAAGAUAAAUAGCCAACAUCAACUGCUGA